rnacentral:tRNA from 1 species
GAUCCUAUGAUCUAAUGGUUAUGAUAUAACUCCUUCACAGUUAUUGUACGAGUUCAAUUCUCGUUAGGAUUA